GGCAGAACAUUAAUAAAGUGGUUUUUGUGGGGAACUUCUUGCGAAUCAACACCAUCUCCAUGAAGUUUCUGGCCUACGCUUUGGAUUACUGGUCAAAGGGACAACUGAAGGCUCUUUUCCUGGAACAUGAGGGAUAUUUCGGAGCAGUGGGAGCGCUCCUUGACCUUUUGGAGACAUCCUGAAUUCCUUCAGAGUCAGGACCACGGGGUUCAAACGGGGGAUUUCUAGCUAAGGCGGAACAUUCUAGGUUCAUGUGGAUUUCAUGUGCAAAAACAAACUGCUUAUUAACAGCCAGAACAAAGGGAUUGCGAACGACGUCACCCGUCUUUGCUGAGAAGAACAAAUGGAGGGGUUUUUUUGUUCUCAGAGGUAACAAAGUAGGCUAGUGGGUUGGAACGCUUCUCUGUGUAUUUAACUGUGUGCGGCGCGCAUAUCUCAAACGUUAAGAUGUGCGUUUGCUCCCGCUUGUGUGUUAAGCUACGUUUCUUUCGGGGACUUGAAAACGGAUGCAGCUGUCACGUAAGACAAGUUCGUGCUCUUCUCAGAAUUAUUUUAAGGGUUGUUCUAUUUUGUAUGGACUCUGGAAGGGCUGGCUUGCCUUUUCAUCACGGUUUGAAGAUGUGCAGAAUGUGGAAACCCACCUACAAUAUUAAAUCUGUUUUCUUACAAA